rnacentral:rRNA from 1 species
AUUGAACGCUGGCGGCAUGCCUAACACAUGCAAGUCGAACGGCAGCGCGGGGGCAACCCUGGCGGCGAGUGGCGGACGGGUGAGGAAAGCAUAGGAAUCUGCCCGGUUGUGGGGGAUAACGUAGGGAAACUUACGCUAAUACCGCAUACGACCUUCGGGUGAAAGUGGGGGACCUUCGGGCCUCACGCGAUCGGAUGAGCCUAUGCCCGAUUAGCUAGUUGGCGGGGUAAGAGCCCACCAAGGCGACGAUCGGUAGCUGGUCUGAGAGGAUGAUCAGCCACACUGGGACUGAGACACGGCCCAGACUCCUACGGGAGGCAGCAGUGGGGAAUAUUGGACAAUGGGCGCAAGCCUGAUCCAGCAAUGCCGCGUGUGUGAAGAAGGCCUUCGGGUUGUAAAGCACUUUUGUUCGGGAAGAAAUCCGUGUGGUUAAUACCCGUACGGGAUGACGGUACCGAAAGAAUAAGCACCGGCUAACUUCGUG